UACGGAGGAUGCAAGCGUUAUCCGGAAUCAUUGGGCGUAAAGCGCACGUAGGCGGUCUGUUAUGUCGGAUGUGAAAGCCCUUGGCUCAACUGAGGAAGUGCAUCCGAAACUGGCAGGCUGGAGUACUAAAGAGGGUCGCGGAAUUCCCGGUGUAGAGGUGAAAUUCGUAGAUAUCGGGAGGAACACCGGUGGCGAAGGCGGCGACCUGGGUAGAUACUGACGCUGAGGUGCGAAAGCGUGGGGAGCAAACAGG
rnacentral:rRNA from 1 species